UUGAAGCUUGCUGGAGGUAUCAGAAGUGCGAAUGCUGACAUGAGUAACGACAAUGGGUGUGAAAAACACCCACGCCGAAAGACCAAGGGUUCCUGCGCAACGUUAAUCGACGCAGGGUUAGUCGGUUCCUAAGGCGAGGCUGAAAAGCGUAGUCGAUGGGAAACAGGUUAAUAUUCCUGUACUUCUGGUUACUGCGAUGGAGGGACGGAGAAGGCUAGGCCAGCUUGGCGUUGGUUGUCCAAGUUUAAGGUGGUAGGCUGAAAUCUUAGGUAAAUCCGGGGUUUCAAGGCCGAGAGCUGAUGACGAGUCGUCUUUUAGAUGACGAAGUGGUUGAUGCCAUGCUUCCAAGAAAAGCUUCUAAGCUUCAGGUAACCAGGAACCGUACCCCAAACCGACACAGGUGGUCGGGUAGAGAAUACCAAGGCGCUUGAGAGAACUCGGGUGAAGGAACUAGGCAAAAUGGCACCGUAACUUCGGGAGAAGGUGCGCCGGCUAGGGUGAAGGAUUUACUCCGUAAGCUCUGGCUGGUCGAAGAUACCAGGCCGCUGCGACUGUUUAUUAAAAACACAGCACUCUGCAAACACGAAAGUGGACGUAUAGGGUGUGACGCCUGCCCGGUGCCGGAAGGUUAAUUGAUGGGGUUAGCGCAAGCGAAGCUCUUGAUCGAAGCCCCGGUAAACGGCGGCCGUAACUAUAACGGUCCUAAGGUAGCGAAAUUCCUUGUCGGGUAAGUUCCGACCUGCACGAAUGGCGUAACGAUGGCGGCGCUGUCUCCACCCGAGACUCAGUGAAAUUGAAAUCGCUGUGAAGAUGCAGUGUAUCCGCGGCUAGACGGAAAGACCCCGUGAACCUUUACUGUAGCUUUGCACUGGACUUUGAGCCUGCUUGUGUAGGAUAGGUGGGAGGCUUUGAAGCGUGGACGCCAGUUCGCGUGGAGCCAUCCUUGAAAUACCACCCUGGCAUGCUUGAGGUUCUAACUCUGGUCCGUAAUCCGGAUCGAGGACAGUGUAUGGUGGGCAGUUUGACUGGGGCGGUCUCCUCCUAAAGAGUAACGGAGGAGUACGAAGGUGCGCUCAGACCGGUCGGAAAUCGGUCGCAGAGUAUAAAGGCAAAAGCGCGCUUGACUGCGAGACAGACACGUCGAGCAGGUACGAAAGUAGGUCUUAGUGAUCCGGUGGUUCUGUAUGGAAGGGCCAUCGCUCAACGGAUAAAAGGUACUCCGGGGAUAACAGGCUGAUACCGCCCAAGAGUUCAUAUCGACGGCGGUGUUUGGCACCUCGAUGUCGGCUCAUCACAUCCUGGGGCUGAAGCCGGUCCCAAGGGUAUGGCUGUUCGCCAUUUAAAGUGGUACGCGAGCUGGGUUUAGAACGUCGUGAGACAGUUCGGUCCCUAUCUGCCGUGGACGUUUGAGAUUUGAGAGGGGCUGCUCCUAGUACGAGAGGACCGGAGUGGACGAACCUCUGGUGUUCCGGUUGUCACGCCAGUGGCAUUGCCGGGUAGCUAUGUUCGGAAAAGAUAACCGCUGAAAGCAUCUAAGCGGGAAACUUGCCUCAAGAUGAGAUCUCACUGGGAACUUGAUUCCCCUGAAGGGCCGUCGAAGACUACGACGUUGAUAGGCUGGGUGUGUAAGCGUUGUGAGGCGUUGAGCUAACCAGUACUAAUUGCCCGUGAGGCUUGACC
rnacentral:rRNA from 1 species